rnacentral:rRNA from 1 species
GGGAAGCUUUGCGAUUACAUCAAGAUUCUUCCAGUGGCGAACGAGGUAGUAACACGUAGGUACGCACCCCUUAGUCAUGAAUAACUUAUCGAAAGAUAAGCUAAUACAUGAUAGUCUCUUCGGAGUAAAGUUUUUCGCUAAGGGAGCGGCCUGCGGGAUAUCAGCUAGUUGGUAGUGUAAAAGACUACCAAGGCUAUGACGUCUAGGGGAGGUGAGAGCCUGACCCCCACCGAUGGAACUGAGACACGGUCCAUACACCUACGGGUGGCUGCAGUCGAGAAUCUUCCGCAAUGGGCGAAAGCCUGACGGAGCGACGUCGCGUGAUCGAUGAAGUCCUUUGGGAUGUAAAGAUCUUUUGUGAGGGAGAAAGUAAUUGAUAGUACCUCAAGAAUAAGGGGUUGCUAAACUCGUGCCAGCAGCAGCGGUAAUACGAGUGCCCCAAGCGUUAUCCGGAAUUAUUGGGUGUAAAGGGUUCGUAGGUGGUCUUAUUAGUCUUAUGUUAAAGCCUGGAGCUUAACUCCAGAAAUGCGUAGGAAACGGUAAGACUAGAGGAUGUGAGAGGUCUGUGGAACUCAUGGUGUAGGGGUGAAAUCCGUUGAUAUCAUGGGGAACACCAAAAGCGAAGGCAGCAGACUGGCACAUUCCUGACACUGAGGAACGAAAGCGUGGGUAGCGAAUGGGAUUAGAUACCCCAGUAGUCCACGCCCUAAACGAUGUUCAUUUGCUUUUCGGAGUAUCGACCCUCUGAGAGGCGUAGCUAACGCGUUAAAUGAACCACCUGGGUAGUACGACCGCAAGGUUAAAACUCAAAGGAAUAG